rnacentral:rRNA from 1 species
AUGGGUGACAAGGAUGCCGCUCCAUCGGGAGUCACGGCAGGGGAGCUUGCAGCGGUGUUGCAAGCCAUGGAUGAUAAAUACAGAUUGUUGUUCGAGGCUAUGAGCAAGCAAGGAGGGAGUUCAAAACCAGAAGCAGAGGUCAAGGAGGAGGUUCAUCCAUUGCAAAUGCCCCUGGUGAAGUUAGAUGGGUCUGAAACCUAUGCAAGUUGGGCAGAGCACGCAGAGACAAUUCUUGUCUCAAGAAGUCUAGAGGGAUAUAUACAUGGGGCAAUUGAAAAACCAGCUGACGAGAACUCCAAGGAAGGCCAGAAGUGGAAGAUGACCAACGCAUUGGUGAGAGCAUGGCUGCUGAGUUCAGUCUCACCUCAAAUUGCUAAGCAGGUGGAAAGGAUUAAGGAGGCGUCAGAAAUUUGGCGGCUACUGAAAGGUACAUAUUCUGGAGUCGGUAAUGAGAUGCUUGCUUGUAAAAUUCAGAAGGAGCUGCAGGGGUUGAGUCAGGGUGACAAAUCAGUUGUGGAUUAUGUGUCCGAAUUGAAGAGAUUGUGGAGUGAGAUUGAUUACUUUGAUCCAAUUGAUAUGGAGUGUGGUAAGUGUAUUGAGAAAUUUAACAAGUGGACGGAAAAGAGACGUGUGAGGGACUUCCUAAAUGGACUUCAUUCUAAGUAUGAAAACAGGAGGGCUGCACUGUAUGGUAGCGGAAAGCUUCCUACACUGGAGCAGGCAAUAUCAGCUAUCAUUAGUGAGGAAACCAGAUUGAAAUUAGAGGCAGCCGGGUCAGUGAUGCAAGGUAUCAUGCAGCGGCGAUCAGCACUCUAUGCAGUAGAGGGUGGAAAUUAUCAAAGGUUGGGAUCAAAUACAACUGAGAAGAAAUGCUUCGAGUGCGGUCAGCCAGGACAUUUGAAGUUUUCAUGCCCUGAGUUAAUGGGAGGCGGCAGAGGAAGAGGGCAGGACUGGCGUGGAAGAGGCCGUGGCCAUGGGCUUGAAGGACGAGGCUACCGUGGGCGAGGUACACGCCCUGCUGCUAAAGCAAACACGUCGGUGAUCACUGAAAAUACCACCCAAACUAUGAGUGUUGAGAUGACUGCUGAGGAUUGGGAGAAGUUGUGCCAAUUCAAGGGGCUUUCUCUAGGUGACAAGACAACUGUUGAAGCGCCUACCUCUGCUGCCUUAGCAAAUUUCGGUGGAACUUGGGACUGGAAGAAGACUUGGGACGGGGAUCAUGCAUGA